rnacentral:lncRNA from 1 species
GGGGUACAGGCAGGGUACAUCUUAAAAUUAAAAUUAGAGGGGCCGGGCAUGGUGGCUCACGCCUGUAAUCCUGGCAUUUUGGGAGGCUGAGGCAGGCAGAUCACUUCAGGUCAGGAGUUAGAGACCAGCCUGGCCAACAUGGUGAAACCCGUGUGUACUAAAAAAAAAAAAAUACCAAAAUUAGCCGGGCGUGGUGGUGUGAGCCUGUAAUCCCAGCUACUCAGGAGGCUGAGGCAGGAGAAGCGCUUGAACACAAGAGGCGGAGGUUGCAUUGAACCGAGGUCGCGCCACUGUACUCCAGCCUGGGCAACAAGAAUGAAACUCCAUCUCAAAAAAAAAAAAAAAAAAAAAAAAUUAAUGUGCUGGGUGAGACUACAUAUACCUCCUAUCUAAUGAAUGGAGAGCAAUUAGUGCAGCAAGAGUAGAACAUGGUGGAGACGAUUUGUUGGCAGAGAUUUGGGUGAUCAGCUGAUUCCAAACCCAGCACGGUGAGAGCUGCAUAUUCCCCCCCAGCCUCUCUCCUAGGCACCGUGACCUGCACCCCGUCCCCUCCCUGCUGGAGCCGCACAGUGGCUGAGUGUCGCAAUCAUGUGAAAGUUGUUCCUGCCCAGCACACACCGUCGAAAACCUGAAGCAGACUUCUUUUUCUUUUCUUUUCUUUUUAAAAAAAUUUCCCUCUGAAAAACUUUACAAGGCAUCUGUGUGUGGCCCACUUCACUGGAUAUGAAAGUAAUAAGAAGCACCUCAAAAAUACUGUGCUAAGCACAGUAGCAGUGGAACUAAAGGAUGGUCCUUGGGGACAUUUGAUAGCUUUUGAGGGCAUUGCUUUUGAAAUGACUGAACCCAGUUCUUCAGCAUUCUCUGGAGAAGAGAUGGCAGGAGAAGCUGUGACAUCAGAGAUUCCUGCCGGUGUCUGAGUUUUGUUCCUCUCCUUGGUGCUUCUCACAAAGAUCCAAUCCUAAAGUAAUAGCUGAAGGACACUCAAUAGAGGGAAGGGUUAAGUAAGAUUUCCCAUCAGGCAGGAAGUUGGCCAGGCACAGUGGCUCACGCCUGUAAUCCCAGCACUUUGGGAUGCUAAUGUGGGAACUGAGGUGGGAAGAUUGCUUGAGGCCAGGAGUUUGAGACCAGCUUGGGCAACACAGUAAGACUCUGUCUCUACAAAAGAAGAAGAAAAACAUUAGCCAGACAUGGUGGUGCAUGCCUGUAGUUCCAGCUACUCAAGAGGCUGAGGCUGGACGAUCACCUGAGCCCAGGAGUUUGAGUCUGCAGUGAUCUGUGAUCAU